rfam:Capsicum annuum cultivar Zunla-1 chromosome 6, whole genome shotgun sequence
ACCUCAUGGUUGGGACAUUGCAUGAGCUUCCCAUUAAAUCUCUCCCAUACCUUAUAUAGAGGUUCUCCAUUUAAUUGAUGAAAAUUAGUUAUUUUAUCAUGCAAUU